UACGGGGGGAGCAAGCGUUGUUCGGAUUUACUGGGCGUAAAGGGCGCGUAGGCGGCCAGCGCAAGUCAGUUGUGAAAUCUCCGGGCUUAACUCGGAAAGGUCAACUGAUACUGCGCGGCUAGAGUGCAGAAGGGGCAACUGGAAUUCUCGGUGUAGCGGUGAAAUGCGUAGAUAUCGAGAGGAACACCUGCGGCGAAGGCGGGUUGCUGGGCUGACACUGACGCUGAGGAGCGAAGGCCAGGGGAGCAAACGGG
rnacentral:rRNA from 1 species